GGUCAGGACGAACGCUGGCGGCGUGCCUAACACAUGCAAGUCGAGCGAGGAGAUCCUUCGGGAUGAUCCUAGCGGCGGACGGGUGAGUAACACGUGGGCAACCUGCCUCAUAGAGAGGAAUAGCCUUCCGAAAGGGAGAUUAAUACCUCAUAACAUUGCAGUUUCGCAUGGAACAGCAAUUAAAGGAGCAAUCCGCUAUGAGAUGGGCCCGCGGCGCAUUAGCUAGUUGGUGAGGUAACGGCUCACCAAGGCGACGAUGCGUAGCCGACCUGAGAGGGUGAUCGGCCACAUUGGGACUGAGACACGGCCCAGACUCCUACGGGAGGCAGCAGUGGGGAAUAUUGCACAAUGGGGGAAACCCUGAUGCCAGCAACGCCGCGUGAGUGAUGACGGCCUUCGGGUUGUAAAGCUCUGUCUUCAGGGACGAUAAUGACGGUACCUGAGGAGGAAGCCACGGCUAACUACGUGCCAGCCGCCGC
rnacentral:rRNA from 1 species